UGGGAUAUAGCUUAGUUGGUAGACCGCUUGCCUUGCAUGCACAAGGUCCUGGGUUCAAUCCCCAGCACCACAA
rfam:Ictidomys tridecemlineatus contig057038, whole genome shotgun sequence.